GGGGCUAUGGUCCAGCUUGGCUAUGACUCGCGGUUUGGGGCCGCGCGACCCCGGUUCAAAUCCGGGUAGCCCCA
rnacentral:tRNA from 1 species